GUGAGGAAUUUUCCGCAAUGGGCGAAAGCCUGACGGAGCAAUGCCGCGUGAAGGAUGAAGGCCUAUGGGUUGUAAACUUCUUUUCUCAGAAAAGAAUUAUGACGGUAUCUGAGGAAUAAGCAUCGGCUAACUCUGUGCCAGCAGCCGCGGUAAGACAGAGGAUGCAAGCGUUAUCCGGAAUGAUUGGGCGUAAAGCGUCUGUAGGUUGUUUAAAAAGUAUUCUGUCAAAGAUUAGGGCUUAACCCUAGAUAGGCAGAAUAAACUUUUAAGCUAGAGUUAGGUAGAAGGAGAGGGAAUUCCCGGUGGAGCGGUGAAAUGCGUAGAUAUCGGGAGGAACACCAAAGGCGAAGGCACUCUGCUGGGCAAAUACUAACACUGAGAGACGAAGGCGAGGGGAGCAAAUGGGAUUAGAAACCCUGGUAGUCC
rnacentral:rRNA from 1 species